UCCUACGGGCGGCAGCAGUGAGGAAUAUUGGUCAAUGGUCGGGAGACUGAACCAGCCAAGCCGCGUGAGGGAUGAAGGUACAGAGUAUCGUAAACCUCUUUUGUCAGGGAACAAAGGCGGGGACGCGUCCCCGGAUGAGUGUACCUGAAGAAAAAGCAUCGGCUAACUCCGUGCCAGCAGCCGCGGUAAUACGGAGGAUGCGAGCGUUAUCCGGAUUUAUUGGGUUUAAAGGGUGCGUAGGCGGGCUGUUAAGUCAGCGGUCAAAUGUCGGGGCUCAACCCCGGCCUGCCGUUGAAACUGGCGGC
rnacentral:rRNA from 1 species